rnacentral:rRNA from 1 species
GUCCUGGCAGUAAAACGGUGCACGUUUGGUGUGGGAGGAUUCGACCCCUUCCGUGCCGGAGCUAACGCGUUAAACGUGCCGCCUGGGAAGUACGGUCGCAAGAUUAAAACUCAAAGAAAUUGACGGGGGCCCGCACAAGCGGUGGAGUAUGUGGCUUAAUUCGAUGCAACGCGAAGAACCUUACCAGGGUUUGACAUGCAUCUCUAAGUCGGUGAAAGCCGGCGAGUGUAGCAAUACACGAUUUGCACAGGUGCUGCAUGGCUGUCGU